rnacentral:tRNA from 1 species
GAGGGGAUAGCUCAGUGGCAGAGUGAGUGCUUAGCACGCACAGGAUCCUGGGUUCAAUCCCCAGUCCCUGCA